rnacentral:rRNA from 1 species
UACGAAGGGGGCUAGCGUUGCUCGGAAUCACUGGGCGUAAAGGGUGCGUAGGCGGGUCUUUUAAGUCAGGGGUGAAAUCCUGGAGCUCAACUCCAGAACUGCCUUUGAUACUGAGGAUCUUGAGUCCGGGAGAGGUGAGUGGAACUCCGAGUGUAGAGGUGAAAUUCGUAGAUAUUCGGAAGAACACCAGUGGCGAAGGCGGCUCACUGGCCCGGUACUGACGCUGAGGUGCGAAAGCGUGGGGAGCAAACAGG